AGUGAACGCUGGCGGUAGGCCUAACACAUGCAAGUCGAACGGCAGCACAGUAAGAGCUUGCUCUUACGGGUGGCGAGUGGCGGACGGGUGAGGAAUACAUCGGAAUCUACUUUUUCGUGGGGGAUAACGUAGGGAAACUUACGCUAAUACCGCAUACGACCUACGGGUGAAAGCAGGGGAUCUUCGGACCUUGCGCGAUUGAAUGAGCCGAUGUCGGAUUAGCUAGUUGGCGGGGUAAAGGCCCACCAAGGCGACGAUCCGUAGCUGGUCUGAGAGGAUGAUCAGCCACACUGGAACUGAGACACGGUCAAGACUCCUACGGGAGGCAGCAGUGGGGAAUAUUGGACAAUGGGCGAAAGCCUGAUCCAGCCAUCCCGGGUGGGUGAAGAAGGCCUUGGGUUUGUAAAGCCUUUUUUUUGGGAAGAAAAGGCAGCAGGUUAAUACCCCGCUGUUCUGACGGUACCAAAAGAAUAAGCACCGGCUAACUUCGUG
rnacentral:rRNA from 1 species